rnacentral:rRNA from 1 species
AUUGAACGCUGGCGGCAUGCCUUACACAUGCAAGUCGAACGGCAGCACGGGAGCAAUCCUGGUGGCGAGUGGCGAACGGGUGAGUAAUGUAUCGGAACGUGCCCAGUCGUGGGGGAUAACGCAGCGAAAGCUGUGCUAAUACCGCAUACGAUCUAUGGAUGAAAGCGGGGGAUCGCAAGACCUCGCGCGAUUGGAGCGGCCGAUAUCAGAUUAGGUAGUUGGUGGGGUAAAGGCCCACCAAGCCUGCGAUCUGUAGCUGGUCUGAGAGGACGAUCAGCCACACUGGGACUGAGGCACGGACCAGACUCCUACGGGAGGCAGCAGUGGGGAAUUUUGGACAAUGGGCGCAAGCCUGAUCCAGCAAUGCCGCGUGCAGGAUGAAGGACUUCGGGUUGUAAACUGCUUUUGUACGAGACGAAAAGACUCGCUCUAAUACAGUGGGUACAUGACGGUAUCGCAAGAAUAAGCACCGGCUAACUACGUGCCAGCCGCCGCGGUAA